UACGUAGGGUGCGAGCGUUAAUCGGAAUUACUGGGCGUAAAGUGUGCGCAGGCGGCCGAGCAAGUCGAGUGUGAAAGCCCCGAGCUUAACUUGGGAACUGCGCUCGAAACUACUUGGCUAGAGUGUGGCAGAGGGAGGUGGAAUUCCACGUGUAGCGGUGAAAUGCGUAGAGAUGUGGAGGAACACCGAUGGCGAAGGCGGCUCACUGGCCCGGUACUGACGCUGAGGUGCGAAAGCGUGGGGAGCAAACAGG
rnacentral:rRNA from 1 species